GAAGUAGGUCCCAAGGGUAUGGCUGUUCGCCAUUUAAAGUGGUACGCGAGCUGGGUUUAGAACGUCGUGAGACAGUUCGGUCCCUAUCUGCCGUGGGCGUUGGAAGAUUGAGAGGGGUUGCUCCUGGUACGAGAGGACCGGAGUGAACGCACCACUGGUGUUCGGGUUGUCAUGCCAAUGGCAUUGCCCGGUAGCUAAGUGCGGAAGAGAUAACCGCUGAAAGCAUCUAAGCGGGAAACUUGCCUCGAGAUGAGUCUUCCCUGUCACCUAGAGUGACCUAAAGGAACGUUUAAGACUAAGACGUUGAUAGGCUGGGUGUGUAAGCGUAGCGA
rnacentral:rRNA from 1 species